rnacentral:lncRNA from 1 species
AUGAUUAGAAAACUUUUUAUUGCCCUGCUUUUGUCAUCUGUGACUCUUGGAGAAGCCAGGAAAUCCUUUCUCAGUUUCCUGAACAUGGAAAAGACUGAAGUUCUGUUUUUCACAAAGACGGAAGAAGCUGUCGUUGUGAGGUCAACUUACAGAGAUAAACAGCCCAACUCCAGCUAUCUCCUUGUACAACUGGGAGACGAUAGAAUACUCCAGGUGGCGAAUGUGACCAAGACCUUAUCGGACGUGACCAACUUUACCAUAAACCUGGUGAUGGGUGGAGACGGAGAGACGAAUCUGACCGUUCAGCUGUGGGAUUCGGAAGGUAGGGGCCAAAGGCUCAUUGAAGAGAUCCAGAAUGUCCGAGUUAGCGUGCUCAGACAGAGACAUGACAGUCCUUCCCAGGCACCAGACCUCCUCAACAGAAACAUCCUAAUGCUGUUUCUGCCAAUGAUACUGUUAAAUAAAUGUGCGUUUGGGUGCAAGAUUGAGUUCCAGGUGUUUGAAACAGUGUGGAAGAGACCUUUGCCCGUAGUUCUUGGGGUGGUCAUACAGUUUUUUCUUCUGCCGUUUUGCGGAUUCCUUCUGACGCAGAUUUUGGCCUUGCCUGAGGCUCAGGCGUUUGGGUUUAUAGUCACCUGCACGUGCCCAGGUGGGGGUGGGGGCUACCUCUUCGCCCUGCUUCUAGAAGGAGAUGUCACUUUGGCCAUUCUGAUGACCUGUACGUCAACGUUUCUGGCCCUGGUCACGAUGCCUACCAAUUCAUACAUAUACAGUAGAAUCUUAGGGUUAUCGGGCACACUGCAUAUCCCUAUUUCUAAAAUUAUGUCAACCCUCCUUUUCAUCCUCACACCGAUGUCAGUGGGAAUAGCCAUCAAGCGUAGACUGCCUGACAAAGCCAAGUUCUUGGAGAGGAUCAUUAGGCCUCUGAGUUUUAUUUUAAUGUGUGUAGGGAUUUAUUUGACUUUCAGCAUGGGAUUGGUGUUUCUGAAAGCAAUGAACCUGGACGUGCUUCUGUUGGGUGUCUCAGUUCCUGCUUUGGGUUUGUCGUUCGGGUACUUUUUUGCUAAAAUUUCUAUGCUCCCUCUUCCUGUUUGUAAAACUGUUGCUAUUGAAGGUGGGGUGCUGAAUAGUUUCUUAGCCCUUGCCAUUAUUCAGCUUUCCUUUUCACAGUCUGAUGCAGACUUGGCAUCUGUGGCUCCAUUUACAGUGGCCAUGUGUUCUGCAUGUGAAAUGUUACUGAUCCUUCUGUUCUACAAGGCUAAGAAAAGGUGUGUCCUUAACACAGAAGAAAAAAGAAUGAAAAAUCCCCCAGUCUAA